rnacentral:rRNA from 1 species
UACAGAGGGUGCGAGCGUUGUCCGGAAUCACUGGGCGUAAAGGGCGCGUAGGUGGUGGGGUAAGCGUGUGGUGAAAGCCCGGGGCUCAACCCCGGGUCGGCCAUGCGAACUGCCCGACUGGAGCAUGGUAGAGGCCAAUGGAAUUCCGGGUGUAGCGGUGGAAUGCGUAGAGAUCGGAAAGAACACCAGUGGCGAAGGCGGCUUCCUGGACUCAUACUGACGCUGAGGCGCGAAAGCGUGGGGAGCAAACAGG